CACGGGGGGGGGGCAAGCGUUGUUCGGAAUUACUGGGCGUAAAGGGCUCGUAGGCGCCCGCUAAGUCGAACGUGAAAUCCCCGAGCUCAACUCGGGAACUGCGUCCGAUACUGGCGGGCUUGAAUCCGGGAGAGGGAUGCGGAAUUCCAGGUGUAGCGGUGAAAUGCGUAGAUAUCGGAAGGAACAUCAGUGGCGAAAGCGGCUUCCUGGACCAGCACCGACGUCAGGCACGAAAGCGUGGGGAGCAAACAGG
rnacentral:rRNA from 1 species